GGCCGGGGCGCUGCACCAGGUGCAGAACCUUCACAGUUGUGUCCAGGUGAUAAAUGACUUUGUGUCUCCAGAGCAUGUAUUCCACUCCUUCCACCUGACACAGGAACUGAGGUCCUCCAGAGAAGAGCCCAACUACGAAGAUAAACUACAGGUAAAGAACAUCUUGUUCCACUCUGUGAAGGAUGCAUUGACGUCGCUGAGGAGGUACAGCCAGGAGGAGGAAGAGAACUCCUGACCCGUAGUCCCCCUGGCUCCUCCCUCUCUGGCGCCUCCCUCCCUGGCGCCUCCCUCCCUGGCGCCUCCCUCCCUGGCGCCUCCCUCCCUGGCGCCUCCCUCUCUGGCGCCUCCCUCUCUGAGACAUCUUCCUUCAGCCUGGAACAGAUAUAUACACACUGACACUAACCACAACAGCAGAACACACUACAACACACUAAAACUACAUGUUACUGACCAGCAUCACUACACAGCAUCAAGAUACUGACCAUAGCAGCAUCACCACCCAGCAUCAGGAUACUGACCAUAGCAGCAUCAGGAUACUGACCAUAGCAGCAUCACCACCCAGCAUCAGGAUACUGACCAUAGCAGCAUCACCACCCAGCAUCAUGAUACUGACCAUAGCAGCAUCAGGAUACUGACCAUAGCAGCAUCACCACCCAGCAUCAAGAUACUGACCAUAGCAGCAUCAGGAUACUGACCAUAGCAGCAUCACCACCCAGCAUCAAGAUACUGACCAUAGCAGCAUCACCACCCAGCAUCAAGAUACUGACCAUAGCAGCAUCAGGAUACUGACCAUAGCAGCAUCACCACCCAGCAUCAAGAUACUGACCAUAGCAGCAUCACCACCCAGCAUCAAGAUACUGACCAUAGCAGCAUCAGGAUACUGACCAUAGCAGCAUCACCACCCAGCAUCAGGAUACUGACCAUAGCAGCAUCACCACCCAGCAUCAGGAUACUGACCAUAGCAGCAUCAGGAUACUGACCAUAGCAGCAUCAGGAUACUGACCAUAGCAGCAUCAGGAUACUGACCAUAGCAGCAUCACCACCCAGCAUCAGGAUACUGACCAUAGCAGCAUCAGGAUACUGACCAUAGCAGCAUCACCACCCAACAUCAGGAUACUGACCAUAGCAGCAUCAGGAUACUGACCAUAGCAGCAUCACCACCCAGCAUCAAGAUACUGACCAUAGCAGCAUCAGGAUACUGACCAUAGCAGCAUCACCACCCAGCAUCAGGAUACUGACCAUAGCAGCAUCACCACCCAGCAUCAAGAUACUGACCAUAGCAGCAUCAGGAUACUGACCAUAGCAGCAUCACCACCCAGCAUCAAGAUACUGACCAUAGCAGCAUCACCACCCAGCAUCAGGAUACUGACCAUAGCAGCAUCAGGAUACUGACCAUAGCAGCAUCAGGAUACUGACCAUAGCAGCAUCAGGAUACUGACCAUAGCAGCAUCACCACCCAGCAUCAGGAUACUGACCAUAGCAGCAUCACCACCCAGCAUCAGGAUACUGACCAUAGCAGCAUCAGGAUACUGACCAUAGCAGCAUCACCACCCAGCAUCAGGAUACUGACCAUAGCAGCAUCACCACCCAGCAUCAGGAUACUGACCAUAGCAGCAUCACCACCCAGCAUCAGGAUACUGACCAUAGCAGCAUCAGGAUACUGACCAUAGCAGCAUCAGGAUACUGACCAUAGCAGCAUCACCA